CCAUGACUUGAUUUGAUCAUGUUGAUUUCACCAAUCGAGAUAUUUGAUCAAUCGUAAUGUUGGAUUGUGUCACCUAAUCAAUUCAAAUUAUACCUCAUAAAUUUUCUCUCCUCUGAUUUUCUCUCUCCACUUGAUUUUAUAAAAUCGAUGAAGAAACCUCGAUCCUAUCACUUCGAAUCUGAUUUGAUUUGAUAGUCAAACUUUGGAUCAUUUAGGUCCUAAUUAGAUUUUGAUUAGAUAAAAUUAGAUGAUCGGACCCAAUCUAAACCGUUAAAAUAUGGUAUUCGUAUUCUUUCUAAUUAUUAAAAUUGAUUCUGUAUAGGAUUGUGAAUGUUUGAUC
rnacentral:lncRNA from 1 species